CGGGGCAUAGCGCAGUCUGGUAGCGCAUCUGUUUUGGGAACAGAGGGUCGGGAGUUCGAAUCUCUCUGCCCCGACCA
rnacentral:tRNA from 3 species